GGAGAGAAGGUUAAGACUUCAGGAAGCUUAUCUUGAUAUGCUCAGAUCAAAGCUAUUCACACAAUGACUGAAUAAACAUAUUGGUUAAUGAUACUGACAAAGAUUCUGACGUAAUACUAAGGAAAAUACAAACACUGGAACAAGAGCAAGAAGUUAAAAAAUACAGGAGGCCACUGAAAGCUAUGAAUAAGGAAAAUGAUAGACCGUGUUUGACAUUCUCAGUAGUAUUGAGAUUGGAUUGGAUUGGAAAGGUUGGAGCAAAGAAGAAAAGAAGAUAUUGCUGAUGUUUGAUUUCAUGCAGUGCAAAGGGAGCAAAAGACAGAAAAUGAUGACUCUGAGAUUCUGAAAACCACGUAAGCAAGAAGAGAACAAAGUAAAAUAUUUAAACUGUUGAGAGAAAAGAACCAGCAAACUAUAAUUUUGUAUCCUGCAAAACUAUCCUUCACAAGUAAAGGAAAAAUAAAGACUACCUCAGACAAAUAUUGAAGGAAUUUAUUGCCAAUAUGCCUGUUUUGCAAGAAAUGUUAAGUUUUUCAAGGAGAAGAAGACUGUUCGGAAACUCAGAUCUGCACAAAGAAAGAAAGAACAUCAGAGAAUGAAUAAGAG